rnacentral:rRNA from 1 species
UGCUGCUUUGCUGACGAGUGGCGGACGGGUGAGUAAUGUCUGGGAAACUGCCUGAUGGAGGGGGAUAACUACUGGAAACGGUAGCUAAUACCGCAUAACGUCGCAAGACCAAAGAGGGGGACCUUCGGGCCUCUUGCCAUCAGAUGUGCCCAGAUGGGAUUAGCUUGUUGGUGGGGUAACGGCUCACCAAGGCGACGAUCCCUAGCUGGUCUGAGAGGAUGACCAGCCACACUGGAACUGAGACACGGUCCAGACUCCUACGGGAGGCAGCAGUGGGGAAUAUUGCACAAUGGGCGCAAGCCUGAUGCAGCCAUGCCGCGUGUAUGAAGAAGGCCUUCGGGUUGUAAAGUACUUUCAGCGGGGAGGAAGGUGUUGUGGUUAAUA